CACUCAUCCGUAUGAGUUUGACUUCUACCUGUGCAGCCACGCUGGAAUCCAGGGCACCAGUCGGCCGUCCCACUACCACGUCCUCUGGGACGAUAACUGUUUCACUGCAGACGAGUUCCAGCUCCUCACCUACCAGCUGUGCCACACCUACGUCCGCUGCACGCGCUCAGUCUCCAUCCCAGCUCCGGCCUACUACGCCCACCUGGUGGCCUUCCGCGCUCGCUACCACCUGGUGGACAAAGAGCACGACAGGUGAGUUUUAUGAACCUCUUUCCUUUCUGUGAUCUAGACAUUGUGAUCGCUUGCCCCCAGGUCUUCUGAAGGUCUUCUUGAGUUUGUGCAGAAAAAAGCUCCACAGUGCUGGAUGAAACACAGACAGCCUGAAAGUUUGUUCCUAAAUAAAAUCAGGUUUAAGUCCACAUUAGUGGACAAAAGAAGCAGCUGCAGGCCUGAAGGUCUAAAUAUGGAUGGGAAACAGAAGAGGG